UCUGGUGCCAGCAGCCGCGGUAAUUCCAGCUCCAAUAGCGUAUAUUAAAGUUGUUGCGGUUAAAAAGCUCGUAGUUGGACUUGUGUCCCACGCCGCGGUCUGUCGCCCGUCGAUGCGACCGCGCGGUUCAUGUCAGUGGGACGUCCAGCCGGUGGCACGCUGGUCCCGUCGUCGUGCGCGCGUCGUUCGCAAGAGCGGCGCGUCGCGCGCGGCGGGUUGCCGGUGCCAUGUCACUCGUCCCGGUGCUCUUUAUCGAGUGUCUUGGCGGGCCGGCUCGUUUACUUUGAACAAAUUAGAGUGCUCAAAGCAGGCUGGAACGCCUGAAUGUUGUAUGCAUGGAAUAAUGGAAAAAGAUCUCGGUUCUAUUUUGUUGGUUUUUGUGAACCCGAGAUAAUGAUUAAGAGGGACGAACGGGGGCAUUCGUAUUGCGACGUUAGAGGUGAAAUUCUUGGAUCGUCGCAAGACGAACGGGAGCGAAAGCGUUUGCCAAGCACGUCCUCAUUAAUCAAGAACGAAAGUUAGAGGUUCGAAGGCGAUCAGAUACCGCCCUAGUUCUAACCAUAAACGAUGCCAACUAGCGAUCCGCCGGUGUUCCUCCGAUGACCCGGCGGGCAGCUUACGGGAAACCAAGUGUUUGGGUUCCGGGGGAAGUAUGGUUGCAAAGCUCAAACUUAAAGGAAUUGACGGAAGGGCACCACCAGGAGUGGAGCCUGCGGCUUAAUUUGACUCAACACGGGAAACCUCACCAGGCCCGGACACUGGAAGGAUUGACAGAUUGUAUAGCUCUUUCUUGAUUCAGUGGGUGGUGGUGCAUGGCCGUUCUUAGUUGGUGGAGCGAUUUGUCUGGUUAAUUCCGAUAACGAACGAGACUCUGGCCUGCUAACUAGUCGCUAAACAAACGACAUCCGCAUCCGUGCUGUCGGCGACACGAUGAAACUCUUCUUAGAGGGACCGGCGGCCUCGAGCCGCACGAGAUUGAGCGAUAACAGGUCUGUGAUGCCCUUAGAUGUUCUGGGCCGCACGCGCGCUACACUGAAGGCAUCAACGUGUGUUCAUCAUCCUUGGCCGAAAGGUCCGGGUAACCCGCUGAAACGCCUUCGUGCUAGGGACUGGGGCUUGCAAUUCUUCCCCAUGAACGAGGAAUUCCCCGUAAGCGCGAGUCAUAAGCUCGCGCUGACUACGUCCCUGCCCUUUGUACACACCGCCCGUCGCUACUACCGAUUGAAUGAUUUGGUGAGGUCUUUGGACUGUCGCGCGGUGGCGCACGCAAGUGCCCGUCGACGUCGGCGGAAAGCUGAUCAAACUUGAUUACUUAGAGGAAGUAAAA
rnacentral:rRNA from 1 species